ACUUCCCCUUUUCCUUUCUGUACUGGGAUUGGAGCUGCUACCUUCGGGGGUCCCUUAGGGCUGAGAUAGUGGAGGCACUACCCGAGGGACCAGGGUGAAAGGGGUCCUGAAAAAGACUAAUUCUCUGGGCUGGUAUAGUCCUUGGCCGGGAGGGGCGGGGCAUGCGGCAGUGCCUGGACUGAGGUUUCAGCUACCCCUAGUCGCUGCCUCUGGCUUGCUGCCUCUCGCUUCCCUCUCCUGCCCUUUGUACCCUGCUUCUUUGUCGUGUGUGGGUUCAGCUCUGGGGAGAAGGGGCUUUGGGGGUCUCCAGGAUCAGAAUUCCUGUACUCCAUCCACGCCUCCACUGCAGCCCCUUCGACUCCACCGGGGCCCUGAGGCGGCUGGGGUGGGGCUGUCUGGGCCCCAGUAGGGGAGACCUGGGGUCACCAGCUCCCCCAACCCUUCCUCGCACUCGCUGGUACUAUGCCCUGCCACCACAGGCCCCUGUGUCCGUCUGGGAUGAGGAGGAGGAUGGUGCCGUGUUUACCGUCACAAGCCGCCAAUAUCGACCUCUUGAUCCCUUGGUCCCUAUGCCUCCCCCACGUUCCUCCCGACGGCUCCGAGCUGGCACUCUGGAGGCCCUGGUCAGACACCUACUGGAUACCCGGACAUCAGGGACUGAUGUGACCUUCAUGUCAGCCUUCCUGGCUACCCACCGGGCCUUCACCUCCACGCCUGCCUUGCUAGGGCUUAUGGCUGACAGGCUGGAAGCCCUUGAAUCUCAUCCUACCGACGAACUAGAGAGGACAACAGAGGUAGCCAUCUCUGUACUGUCAACCUGGCUGGCCUCUCACCCUGAGGAUUUUGGCUCUGAGGCCAAGGGUCAGCUUGACCGGCUUGAGAGCUUCUUACUUCAGACAGGGUAUGCAGCAGGGAAGGGUGUUGGGGGGGGCAGCGCUGACCUCAUCCGCAAUCUCCGGUCCCGGGUGGACCCCCAGGCCCCCGACCUUCCUAAGCCCCUGGCCCUCCCCGGCGAUCCCC
rnacentral:sRNA from 1 species